rnacentral:lncRNA from 10 species
GCAUUACCGUGUGAGCUCCGCCCCCCGCCACAGCAUUACCGUGUGAGCUCCGCCUCCCGUCACAGCAUUACCGUGUGAGCUCCGCCUCCCGACAGAGCAUUACCGUGUGAGCUCCGCCUCCUGCCAGAGCAUUACCGUGUGAGCUCCGCCUCCUGUCACAGCAUUACCGUGUGAGCUCCGCCUCCCGCCAGAGCAUUACCGUGUGAGCUCCGCCUCCCGUCACAGCAUUACCGUGUGAGCUCCGCCUCCCGCCAGAGCAUUACCGUGUGAGCUCCGCCUCCCGUCCGAGCAUUACCGUGUGAGCUCCGCCUCCCGCCAGAGCAUUACCGUGUGAGCUCCGCCCCCCGCCACAGCAUUACCGUGUGAGCUCCGCCUCCCGUCCGAGCAUUACCGUGUGAGCUCCGCCUCCCGUCCGAGCAUUACCGUGUGAGCUCCGCCUCCCGCCAGAGCAUUACCGUGUGAGCUCCGCCUCCCGUCCGAGCAUUACCGUGUGAGCUCCGCCUCCCGUCACAGCAUUACCGUGUGAGCUCCGCCUCCCGUCACAGCAUUACCGUGUGAGCUCCGCCUCCCGUCAGAGCAUUACCGUGUGAGCUCCGCCUCCCGCCAGAGCAUUACCGUGUGAGCUCCGCCUCCCGCCAGAGCAUUACCGUGUGAGCUCCGCCUCCCCACAGAGCAUUACCGUGUGAGCUCCGCCUCCCGGCAGAGCAUUACCGUGUGAGCUCCGCCUCCCGUCAGAGCAUUACCGUGUGAGCUCCGCCUCCCGUCAGAGCAUUACCGUGUGAGCUCCGCCUCCCGUCAGAGCAUUACCGUGUGAGCUCCGCCUCCCGUCAGAGCAUUACCGUGUGAGCUCCGCCUCCGUCAGAGCAUUACCGUGUGAGCUCCGCCUCCCGCCAGAGCAUUACCGUGUGAGCUCCGCCUCCCGUCACAGCAUUACCGUGUGAGCUCCGCCUCCCGCCAGAGCAUUACCGUGUGAGCUCCGCCUCCCGUCAGAGCAUUACCGUGUGAGCUCCGCCUCCCGCCAGAGCAUUACCGUGUGAGCUCCGCCUCCCGACAGAGCAUUACCGUGUGAGCUCCGCCUCCCGCCAGAGCAUUACCGUGUGAGCUCCGCCUCCCGUCACAGCAUUACCGUGUGAGCUCCGCCUCCCGUCACAGCAUUACCGUGUGAGCUCCGCCUCCCGUCACAGCAUUACCGUGUGAGCUCCGCCUCCCGUCACAGCAUUACCGUGUGAGCUCCGCCUCCCGUCACAGCAUUACCGUGUGAGCUCCGCCUCCCGUCAGAGCAUUACCGUGUGAGCUCCGCCUCCCGUCAGAGCAUUACCGUGUGAGCUCCGCCUCCCGCCAGAGCAUUACCGUGUGAGCUCCGCCUCCCGACAGAGCAUUACCGUGUGAGCUCCGCCUCCCGUCACAGCAUUACCGUGUGAGCUCCGCCUCCCGACAGAGCAUUACCGUGUGAGCUCCGCCUCCUGCCAGAGCAUUACCGUGUGAGCUCCGCCUCCCGCCAGAGCAUUACCGUGUGAGCUCCGCCUCCCGUCCGAGCAUUACCGUGUGAGCUCCGCCUCCCGCCAGAGCAUUACCGUGUGAGCUCCGCCCCCCGCCACAGCAUUACCGUGUGAGCUCCGCCUCCCGUCCGAGCAUUACCGUGUGAGCUCCGCCUCCCGUCAGAGCAUUACCGUGUGAGCUCCGCCUCCCGCCAGAGCAUUACCGUGUGAGCUCCGCCUCCCGUCCGAGCAUUACCGUGUGAGCUCCGCCUCCCGUCACAGCAUUACCGUGUGAGCUCCGCCUCCCGUCACAGCAUUACCGUGUGAGCUCCGCCUCCCGUCACAGCAUUACCGUGUGAGCUCCGCCUCCCGUCAGAGCAUUACCGUGUGAGCUCCGCCUCCCGUCACAGCAUUACCGUGUGAGCUCCGCCUCCCGUCACAGCAUUACCGUGUGAGCUCCGCCUCCCCGCAGAGCAUUACCGUGUGAGCUCCGCCUCCCGGCAGAGCAUUACCGUGUGAGCUCCGCCUCCCGGCAGAGCAUUACCGUGUGAGCUCCGCCUCCCGGCAGAGCAUUACCGUGUGAGCUCCGCCUCCCGUCAGAGCAUUACCGUGUGAGCUCCGCCUCCCGGCAGAGCAUUACCGUGUGAGCUCCGCCUCCCGCCAGAGCAUUACCGUGUGAGCUCCGCCUCCCGUCACAGCAUUACCGUGUGAGCUCCGCCUCCCGUCAGAGCAUUACCGUGUGAGCUCCGCCUCCCGCCAGAGCAUUACCGUGUGAGCUCCGCCUCCCGUCACAGCAUUACCGUGUGAGCUCCGCCUCCCCACAGAGCAUUACCGUGUGAGCUCCGCCUCCCGUCACAGCAUUACCGUGUGAGCUCCGCCUCCCGGCAGAGCAUUACCGUGUGAGCUCCGCCUCCCGGCAGAGCAUUACCGUGUGAGCUCCGCCCCCCGCCAGAGCAUUACCGUGUGAGCUCCGCCCCCCGACAGAGCAUUACCGUGUGAGCUCCGCCCUCCCGUCAGAGCAUUACCGUGUGAGCUCCGCCUCCCGUCAGAGCAUUACCGUGUGAGCUCCGCCUCCCGUCACAGCAUUACCGUGUGAGCUCCGCCUCCCGUCACAGCAUUACCGUGUGAGCUCCGCCUCCCGUCACAGCAUUACCGUGUGAGCUCCGCCUCCCGUCACAGCAUUACCGUGUGAGCUCCGCCUCCCGUCACAGCAUUACCGUGUGAGCUCCGCCUCCCGUCACAGCAUUACCGUGUGAGCUCCGCCUCCCGUCACAGCAUUACCGUGUGAGCUCCGCCUCCCGGCAGAGCAUUACCGUGUGAGCUCCGCCUCCCGUCAGAGCAUUACCGUGUGAGCUCCGCCUCCCGCCAGAGCAUUACCGUGUGAGCUCCGCCUCCCGACAGAGCAUUACCGUGUGAGCUCCGCCUCCCGUCACAGCAUUACCGUGUGAGCUCCGCCUCCCGACAGAGCAUUACCGUUGCACAGCCAGAGAACAACACAUCACACACAGGAAACAGUUGUGCUCAUGUGAUGGGGGCCUCAGCACUAGGAAGGAGCGGA